UUUAAUACUGCAUGUCUGUGUGUGUUUUUGUUUACAGUCUUCUACCCAAGACCACUGACCAUGUCAAUCUAACAAAAGUUUAUGUUGAGGCCUUUUCCAAUCCAAAGGAGGAGCUGUGGGGGAAAGACUAAAGGCAUACAUGAGCGCUCUACUUAAGGAUCCUACCAGCAUUGAUCUCAAGAGAGAAGUGGUCAUACUGUGCCUGAUGGACUAUUUGGGGGCGGACAAAACGGCCCUGAUUAAGGAAUAUUGUUCAGAUGACCUGGUCCAUCACGACAUUCCGCAACAGGUGAUGGGAAUCUAUGUAAUUAGGAAAGAUUCAUCAAAUGCCGACCUCACAGAUGAUGUUGGAAUUGUCCUCGAGGGUGUUAAGGUGAUGGGUGGUCUUGGAAACCUGGCACGGGCAUGCUCUGCUCUUCUUGGACUGACCUACUCACUGAACCUAAGA